rnacentral:rRNA from 1 species
AUUGAACGCUGGCGGCAGGCCUAACACAUGCAAGUCGAACGGUAACAGGAAGCAGCUUGCUGCUUUGCUGACGAGUGGCGGACGGGUGAGUAAUGUCUGGGAAACUGCCUGAUGGAGGGGGAUAACUACUGGAAACGGUAGCUAAUACCGCAUAACGUCGCAAGACCAAAGAGGGGGACCUUCGGGCCCCUUGCCAUCGGAUGUGCCCAGAUGGGAUUAGCUAGUAGGUGGGGUAACGGCUCACCUAGGCGACGAUCCCUAGCUGGUCUGAGAGGAUGACCAGCCACACUGGAACUGAGACACGGUCCAGACUCCUACGGGAGGCAGCAGUGGGGAAUAUUGCACAAUGGGCGCAAGCCUGAUGCAGCCAUGCCGCGUGUAUGAAGAAGGCCUUCGGGUUGUAAAGUACUUUCAGCGGGGAGGAAGGGAGUAAAGUUAAUACCUUUGCUCAUUGACGUUACCCGCAGAAGAAGCACCGGCUAACUCCGUG